GACGAACGCUGGCGGCGUGCUUAACACAUGCAAGUCGGACGGAAAGGCCCUGCUUUUGUGGGGUGCUCGAGUGGCGAACGGGUGAGUAACACGUGAGUAACCUGCCCUUGACUUUGGGAUAACUUCAGGAAACUGGGGCUAAUACCGGAUAGGAGCUCCUGCUGCAUGGUGGGGGUUGGAAAGUUUCGGCGGUUGGGGAUGGACUCGCGGCUUAUCAGCUUGUUGGUGGGGUAGUGGCUUACCAAGGCUUUGACGGGUAGCCGGCCUGAGAGGGUGACCGGCCACAUUGGGACUGAGAUACGGCCCAGACUCCUACGGGAGGCAGCAGUGGGGAAUAUUGCACAAUGGGCGGAAGCCUGAUGCAGCAACGCCGCGUGCGGGAUGACGGCCUUCGGGUUGUAAACCGCUUUCGCCUGUGACGAGGCGUGAGUGACGGUAAUGGGUAAAGAAGCACCGGCUAACUACGUG
rnacentral:rRNA from 1 species